rnacentral:misc_RNA from 1 species
UAAUUCUAAAGCAUUUAAAAAAUGCUUUAAAGAAAAUGCUCUAAAGUAUUAAACAGCUCUAAAGCGUUUAAGAAAUGUAUCUAAAGCGUUUAAGAAACAAAUAAAGAAGGUGUAAAAAAACAGGUAAAGAAGGCGUUUAAAAAACAUAUCUGUUUCUUAAACAUAUCUUUUGUUUUUUGUUUUCUUUUGUUUGUCCCGGGGAAGGUUUUUGCCAAUUCACUCCUGAGGGCUUGUAGCUCAGUUGGUUAGAGCGCGCGCUUGAUAAGCGUGAGGUCGGAGGUUCAAGUCCUCCCAGGCCCACCAAUUUAUGAUUCUGAUAAAGUUUGCUGAUAAAGUUUUUGCGAACGUUUUGAUGGUCUUUUAUCUUGCCAUCUUUUACUUUUAUCUUGCUAUCUUUAAAAGUAUUUGAACUGUUUUAGGGGCCGUAGCUCAGCUGGGAGAGCACCUGCUUUGCAAGCAGGGGGUCGUCGGUU